rnacentral:rRNA from 1 species
AGAGUUUGAUCCUGGCUCAGAACGAACGCUGGCGGCGUGGAUUAGGCAUGCAAGUCAAACGGGUACCUUCGGGUACCAGUGGCGAAAGGGUGAGUAACACGUGGGUAACCUACCUUAAGGAUGGGGAUAACUCGUCGAAAGAUGAGCCAAUACCGAAUAAGACCACAGUUUCUUCGGAAACAGGGGUUAAAGCGGGGGAUCGCAAGACCUCGCACCUUUAGAUGGGCCCGCGGCAUAUCAGCUUGUUGGUAGGGUAACGGCCUACCAAGGCUAUGACGUGUAGCUGGUCUGAGAGGAUGGUCAGUCACACUGGGACUGAGACACUGCCCAGACACCUACGGGUGGCUGCAGUCGAGAAUCUUUCGCAAUGGGGGAAACCCUGACGAAGCGACGCCGCGUGUAGGAUGAAGGCCUUCGGGUUGUAAACUACUGUCACGAGGGACGAACUGUGAGCUGGUGAAUAAUCAGUUCAUUUGACGGUACCUCGAGAGGAAGCCACGGCUAACUCCGUGCCAGCAGCCGCGGUAAUACGGAGGUGGCAAGCGUUGUUCGGAUUUAUUGGGUGUAAAGGGUGUGUAGGUGGCUGGGUAAGUGAGGUGUGAAAUCCUGGAGCUCAACUCCAGAAUUGCACUUCAUACUGCUUAGCUAGAGUCUCUGAGAGGCAAGGGGAAUUCCCGGUGUAGGGGUGAAAUCCGUAGAUAUCGGGAGGAACACCAAUAGCGAAGGCACCUUGCUGGUGGAAGACUGACACUGAAACACGAAAGCUGGGGGAGCAAACAGGAUUAGAUACCCUGGUAGUCCUAGCUGUAAACGAUGUUCACUAGGUGUCGGGAGGGUAAACCUUUCGGUGCCGCAGCUUACGCAUUAAGUGAACCACCUGGGGAGUACGGCCGCAAGGCUGAAACUCAAAGGAAUUGACGGGGACCCGCACAAACGGUGGAGCAUGUGGUUUAAUACGUCGAUACGCGUGAAACCUUACCAGGGCUUGACAUGUAUGUGAUCGCUCUAUGAAAGUAGAGCUUCCCUUCCGGGCACAUACACAGGUGUUGCAUGGCUGUCGUCAGCUCGUGCCGUGAGGUGUAGAGUUAAGUCUCGCAACGAGCGCAACCCCUAUCCUUAGUUGCUAACAGGUAAUGCUGAGAACUCUAAGGAGACUGCCGGUGAUAAGCCGGAGGAAGGUGGGGAUGACGUCAAGUCAGUACGGCCCUUACGCCCUGGGCCACACACGUGCUACAAUGGCUGGUACAAUGGGUUGACUGCAAAACCGCAAGGUAGAGCUAAUCCCUUAAAGCCAGUCCCAGUUCGGAUUGGAGGCUGCAAUUCGCCUCCAUGAAGCUGGAAUCGUUAGUAACCCGACAUCAUCACGGCCGGGUGAAUACGUUCCCGGGUCUUGUACACACCGCCCGUCAAGUCACCCGAGUUAGGUGCUCCCGAAGAAGGUUGUCUAACCGCAAGGAGGACGCCUUCGAAGGAGUGACUAGUAAGGGGGACUAAGUCGUAACAAGGUA